GCCCACGUAGCCCAACACGGCUGUAGUCGUGCGGAGCGUAGUGGACGCCAGUCCACGAAGCUGCGCGACUACAGACUUGUCGACGGGUCGAAGACCCUAGUCAACUAGCAGAGGCAUCGGACUAAGGGUCCGACCAGUGGAGGUUCAAAUCCUCCCGUGGGCACCA
rnacentral:tRNA from 1 species